UCAAAAUGACUCUACAGCCAGAGUCUUCCGAACAGCCUUAGAAGGAGGCUAAAUGUCACAGCCACAGGCCCGCUCAUGGCUUUGAGCAAGAAAUUGUCUGUCAGGAGUUAAAUGGACUUGACAUGGGGAGAGUCAUUCUGGGAGGUUUUGAAAACUAAGGCUCCAUUUUGAGGAGCAUCAGGUACUGCUGGAAUGUCUACUAAUGCAACAUGGAUCACAGUAGCCCAGUAGAGAGAGCAAGAGCAAGCAGCAGC